CCUGAUCCUGGUCUAAAUCCUGAUCCAAAAGAAUCCUGAUGCACAGGUUUGAUUGAUGCUGUCGGCCCAUUGGACCGUUCACACAUUCAGCUUCAUGAACUCAACAGGUGAACGUCUCCACAGUCAGAGGCAGCAGUCAUGUGACCGUCUGACUCGAGGCCACGUCAGGUAACUCAGCAGCCAAUCAGAGGCAGAGCUGCAUAUGUGUCACCAGUCG
rnacentral:lncRNA from 1 species